ACAGGGCGUGAACCGCUUAGAAGUAAACAGGUGGUGCUGACAUUACGUUUGUCCGGAUUCAGCCGGUCCGACGGUGGGUUUUCGGUUAGUUGAUCGAAAGACAGCGAGUCGAUUGCUUCGUCUGCCUAGGAUUGGUGCACUUUCGGCAGACUGCGUCACGACCGCCAAUGCGUCCGGCAUAAGUUCGGUUUCUUGAAGACAGCGGGUUUCGGCCUGCUGUGACUAGGACUCCGUUACAGACCCGGUUUGCGUCGGCGGGAGUAGGCCGUGCCCGCUUCGGCUCUGUUUGCGUUGCUUCAUGGUCAGUCGGAAUACAGUGUUGUCUUCGGACGGCUCUGUGACUCCUGGCUGUGAUUAUGGCGUCUACAGAGUGGCACAAAUGGUCUGUGGCGUCCGCGUCAGUCUCCCACCUGACCCGUCUUGAAACACGGACCAAGGAGUCUAACAUGUGCGCAAGUCAUUGGGUGGAAAACCUAAAGGCGCAAUUAAAGUAAAGGUCAACUCGUUGGCCGAAGUGAGAUCCCUACUUCAGGUGGGGCGCAUCAUCGUCCCAUCGCAUCGGCUUGCCCGAACGGUGGAGAAAGAGCGUACAUGUUGGGACCCGAAAGAUGGUGAACUAUGCCUGAGCAGAUGAAGCCAGAAGAAACUCUGGUGGAAGUCCGUAGCGGUUCUGACGUGCAAAUCGAUCGUCAGACUUGGGUAUAGGGCGAAAGACUAAUCGAACCAUCUAGUAGCUGUUUCCUUCCGAA
rnacentral:rRNA from 1 species